rnacentral:rRNA from 1 species
UACGAGGGGGGCAAAUGUUGUUCGGAAUUACUGGGCGUAAAGGGCUCGUAGGCGGCCAACUAAGUCGGAUGUGAAAUCCCCAGGCUCAACCUGGGAACUGCAUCCGAUACUGGAUGGCUUGAAUUCGGGAGAGGGAUGCAGAAUUCCAGGUGUAGCGGUGAAAUGCGUAGAUAUCUGGAGGAAUACCGGUGGCGAAGGCGGCAUCCUGGACCGACAUUGACGCUGAGGAGCGAAAGCCAGGGGAGCAAACGGG